rnacentral:rRNA from 1 species
AUGCAUGUGAGUAAAAGACCCUGGAUAGAUGGAUCAUGCCACCAGGAGCAGCACGAGCAAGCACGCCGAGGCAGCGGUGAUGACGGAACGCGGCGUCACGAGCGGCGCGGAGUUGGGCAGAUAGGGGUAGGAGUCGGGCGGCGGCAUCUUGCACUCGUCGCCGUUGAAGUAGAUCUUGCGCGGGAACGCCCAUCCCUGGCUGAAGGUGAAGGUUCUAUCAUCCUUGCGCAUGAGCACCUCCGACUGCACGUUGCCGAAGGGGCCGGCCUCCAUGAGCAGGUCGUUGUAGAGCUUGAGGCCGUAGAACAUGCCGGUGUCGUUGAUGUUCCCGUAGGGGAGAAGGGGUUUGUACUGGAAGCUGAAGACCUCGGUGACGUUGUUGAGGUUGGGGUGCUGGGCGACGAGCGUCCACUGCGUGUAGUUCAUGCGGUAGUUGAAGUUGGUGACGGCGAUCUUGGCGCGCCAGUAGUCCUUGUAGUUGAGCUUGACGUGCCAGUGCACCCGGAUGGGGCACAUGUGGUUGGUGCACUGCAGCAGCUGCGCCCCGUCCUUCUUGGGCGUGUUCACCCCCGGGGUCAGCGCCCGCUUGGAGUCGCCCAUGAUGCACCCGUCGCUGUGGCUCUUGCCGCCGCGGCCGCCCAUCCUCUUGUGGGCGCCGCAGCCGCACGCGCACUUGGCGCACGGCACGAUGGUGCUGUUGUAGAAGGAGGAGAAGGAGACGCAGCAGGUCGGGUACCUGGACGCCAGCUGCUGCGAGUAGGUGCAGGUCACCGUCCACGUCAUCAGCGCCUGCGUCUUGCGCCGGUGGUCGGCGCUCCAGUACACGGUGGAGGGGACGAUGGUGGCCGGGCCGCAGGUGUAGCCGAGCCCGGGGCCCAUGAGCGUGAAGUUCUUGGGCAGCUUCACGGUCUUGUUGGUGGUCCCGGCGAGCCCCACGGAGACCUGGAACGCCGAGAGCGAGCCGGCGGGGUCCUGGCCGUAGGCGGAGAUGACGCCGCCACGGCAGCAGUUGGCGAUCUGCUGGUUGUAGGGGACGCCGGGGAGGAGGUCCACGACGGAGGGCGUGUGCUUGCAGCAGUGCGGGAUGCCACCCUUGAACUUGGAGCAGUCGCCCUGCUCGGUGGCCUGCGCUCCCACGAUGGACCAGAUCACCUCCUUCUUGGCCCACGACCACCCCAGCGUCCACCCGGGCGCCAUGAUCUGGCGGUACUGCUGGUAGUUGUUCAUCGCCACCAUGGCCACGUAUCCGUCGGGCGUCCAUGA